AGCGUUAUCCGGAUUUAUCGGGYHUAANGGGUGCGYACGCGGCUUUAUAAGUCGGUGGUUAAAGGUCGGGNGCUCAACUGUCUUACAUGCCAUCGAUACUGUUUAUCUUGAGUUAUYAGAAGGCAGAUGGAAUUCCUGGUGUACCCRGGGAAAUGCUUAAAUACCAGGWGGAACACCCGAUUGCUG
rnacentral:rRNA from 1 species